rnacentral:lncRNA from 1 species
AUGCAGUCAUCUGUAGACUCAUGAGGAACAGAAAGUGGCCCAGCUGGGUAAAGUCGCAUUGUUUCUUUGAUAAUGGCUUGAAGAUAGACCAAGUUCUUCAAGUCCGACUCUUCAACCAUUCUAUCUCGUCCUACAUGCUUCUCGAUCUCUUCUUGGGCUUUCUUUAACACAACAGGGUUGCUGACCAGUAAAGCUAAACCCCAUGUUAGAGUCGCUGUUGUGGUAUCGCUGGCUGCAGCUAAAAGUGCCUGAUAAAAGCAAUAAAAACUCACAACUGUUGUUUUGAUAUGUAACUUAAGGAUUACCAAUAAAUAGUACCAAGCAUGUAGCUUUCACAAUCGCAUCAGUGCUGAAGCCAAAAAGAUCCUUUUUAAGUUCUUUAACACGAGACAACAAAGCGGACAUGAAGGCUUCUUCUUCUUCUUCCCUCUCAUCUACAUGUUGUGUUGAGUUCAUCUUCUUUCUAUGCUCUUCUAACCAUCCUUCAAUUACAACAUCCAAUUCUUUAGCUGUCUUCUUCAUCUUCUUCUCAUACCCUCCUAUAUCCAUCCACCUCAACCAUGGAAUGGCAUCAGAAGGUACAAACGCGCCCAAUAGUUCUGAAAACCAUCUAAUGGAUUUCUUAAAUUCAACUUCCUUUUGUUCUCCAGGUGAAAAUCGGUUCCCAAAGAUCACCCUCACAGUCAUGUUUAGAAUCAAGUUCCUGAACCACUGUUUCAUAUCAACCUUUAUCGUUUCAGAUGACCCUUUAUUUGUCUUCCAAUCUUUAUACAAAUCUGUAAUGGAUGACUUCAAUUCAGAGGCUCGGAUUUGUGAAAGCAUUUGAAGGCGAUGAUGAGAGGCAAGUUCAAGAACAACUAUCUUCCGUAUCUCACGCCAGUAUGAUACUUGUGGUGAAAGAGCGAAAUUAGCAUAGUUGUAGCCCAUCAGCUCAGUUGCCAUGGACUUUGGUCUAGUUGCAAAGACUCUAUCGUUUGUGGUUAGGCACUCUUUAGCCAUUUCUGCAUUGCUCACAACUAGGACUCGAUUAACCCCAAGUUUGAUGGUGAAUAUUGGUCCAAACUUGUGGGCCAUAGAGCCUAAGAGUUUGUGAGGAACUUGAGAACCAGAUAAAAGAUAGAGGUGACCAAUUAUCGGCCAUGAGCCUGGUGCUUCAGGUGCUGUCUUUGCUAAUCCUUUGCUGCUCGUGUAAUUAGCUCCACUUCUUAUCCACGCCAGAUGACCAAAAAACAGGAAACAAGAUAUAGUUGCUGUAAAGGUUAUGAAUGAUAGAAGUAAAUCCAUGAUUAUCUUUUUGGAGUGAUAUGGAUGAAGUAAUGAAACUUGAGGCGAUUCUAAUGCUAGUUGAUAGCUGGGGACCCUAUCAUACACCACUAGAUAAAUGAUUCUUGUUAGUUCGUUUUUCAACAUUUAAUCGUAAGAUGGUCAAACACGUGUGAUUCCGCUGUUCAAAAAAAAAAAAAACGUGUCACCAUGUUAGUGACAUUUGAGGAAAUACCUGUGCUAGCUAGCCACUAAGGAAAUAAGUCAAAAAAACCUUCUGGAGGCACAACACAACUAAGUUAAAAAAAAAAAAAAAUGUAUAAAAAAAGAGGUUAGAUGUUAUAUUAUCUUCUUUUAAUUACUGCAGCAAAACUUAUCGAAGGAUAUUCAUAAAAAAGAUCAAAUGCUUUUUAUAUAUUAUUGAAAACGAUUAAGUUAAGUUUUUACGGAAAUGAGACAUUUUUGAAGUAACUAGUUAUAUAAAGUUCAACUAUUUCUGUCUUUCACUAAAAAAUCUUUAGAGAACAAAGAUUAUAUCUUCAGCGAAACAUUUCUAGACAAAUUACACCCUGGCUUUUAUGACGUUUUAUCGAGAUUUAAUUGCGUUUUUGUAAGUUUCUUUUCAAUAUCAUUAGCUUAAUUUAUAAUGAAAACAAGAAUAUCGGACUCCGGAAAACGUAUUUCAAGCAUGUUCAUCGAACUCCGAAAAACGUAUUCCGAACAUAUACAUCGGAUUCCGAGUUCUGGCCACCGUGUUUUAUGAUAUUUUUCACAUUUAAUUUUACACAAUAAAAUAUGUUAUAUAUGUUUGUCUAUAUGUUAAGCUUUAUGAUGUUGACCUCAAAAUAAGUAUAUUGAUGUGUUUUUUUUUAGAUUUCUUGAAAAAAAUAUAUGCAUCAAAGCAACGUCUUUGUUUAGGACUUUUAGUCGGUUUAUCUUUUGUUUUGUUAAUAUACGGUACUUAAAGUUGAAGCGUAAGGGAUCUAAAAGAGUCACUGCUUAUCAUGAAGGGAUCUGAAAAAAUUGGUAUCAUUGGUGUUUGUUUCAAUAAUCCUGGUUCUAGACCUUACGUAUAUCAUCAAGGAUGAAGUCACUAACUCCAUUGGGUUUGCCAUAGUCGAUUAGUGUUUACCUUUUAGGGUAUGGGGUUACUUGUCAGGCGAGUCAUGGUUGAUGACUUACGUAUUUGAGAGAAAGAAGCAUCGGAAAUUACUCCAUUGAGUGGGGUUUUGUCCAUUAACGAUUAUGGUUUGGGAUUUAUGAUUUCUUGUAUUUCAUUAUGUAUAAAUGAAAGCAUUAAAUUUUUCGUCUUCAUUUAUUUUAUAAGUUUUUAUUUAAAUAAAUAACUAGAUUAUAGCCCGCGUUAAACGUGGGAAACGCAUAAAAAAACAUAUAAUCGUUUAUAGAUAUUGUAUAAUGAUUAUAAAAAAAUAUAUGGUUAUUGGUAUUAUUGAAAUGUAUAGAAAAUACAUUGAAAACGAUAAAUAUAUAUAAUCACUGAAAGAUCUCUUUGUAGACAUCAUUUUUUGUUUUAUUAGUUGAACGACUUUCCUCGUCUCAUAUAGUUAUGGUAUUUAUAUAUUUAUAAGCAUUUUAAUUAGUCGUUCCUUGCAUAAUAAUGUUACCUAAUUUAAACAUAUAUUGACAACCAAUAUACCGUUUUUUCUAUUACAUUAAAUAUUGACAACUAUUUCAUUUAUUCAAAUAAAGUUAUGUAAUAUAAUUUAUAAAAUGUUAAAUGUUAUAUAGAUUUAAUUUUAGUAUAUCAUCAAUGGAGAUUCUUUUCUAAAUCAUGAUUGGUUUAUUUUAAAUUAAUUAUAAAUAUAAAUGCUAGCUUUUAUGUUUGCUCUUAUUUAUUUGGUGUUCGCAAGAACUUUGCAUUAGUUUUGGCGCAACUUUGAAUAAUUUUAGUAUAUCAUCAAUGUAAUUUGAUAUAUCUUUCAAUUAUAUGAAAUAUCAAAUAAUGACAUUUCAUUACUAUUAUGAUAAUUUAGUUUAUAUAUUGUAUUGUCACUAAUCUUAACGGUCUUAUUUUUUAUAAUAAUCGUAACGCUUUUACUAAAUGUAUUUUUUACAAAUCUCCUAAUAUCUUAUAAUUUGUAUCUUACUUUAUAAUUUUCAUAACUAUGUUAUUUUCAAGAUUGACUGUUUUAAUAAAAAAAUUUUCAGUCUAUUCAAUUUUAUAUUUCAUUGUACAACAUUAUCGUUUGUAUGUAUUCUGAAAUUUCACUUUAAAAAUGUUUAAUGUUUACACCUUUAUAUAAAUUUUUUGAAUAAACUCAUGUAAUAAUUAUGGAAUAUAUAUCUCAUUUUAAUUAACAUUCACUUCCUUUAUUAUAUCAAAUUCCUCAUUAAACGGAUAUACUUUUGGAAAAUAAUAAUUAUAAUAGGGCAGCAUUAUCUAAGACGUAAAUGUUUGAUAUACUUUUGGAGAAAAAAAAAUCAGGAUCAUUAAAAAAAAUUUUAUAAAGAAAAUACAAAUUUAAAUUUGUUGAAAUUAUGGAUGAAAUUACUGGCGAAAAUUUAUUUUGGAGGGAGUUGUAUUUUGUAAGGUAUAAUAAUAUUACAAAAUUUGAAAUAUCUAUAUUUGUUGUGUAAAUUAAUAAAUUUUAUUGUUACUAUACAAAGAUAAAAAAGUAGGUUGAUAUGAUAUACAAAAACAUAAUAAUUUCAAUGAUAUUUUAAAAUCAUGCCAAAAUUAAUUGGAUUCUUAUGACAUAAAAAUUAAAAAAAAUCAUAAUCAUCUCUAAUAUAUAAAAAUAACAUUUUCGUAAUUAAUGUCAAUUUCCAAGAUAGUUAAUUUUUGUUUUGUUAAAAGUACCUAAUAUAUUUUCAUGUUUAUUUGAAAAGUUUCAGAAAAGUAGUUAACUGAUUUCAUGUAAUUUGUGACAAAGAAAAUCGAAAUAUAUGAAUACAUAUAUUUGAUAUAGGAACAAAAAAUAAUCGAAAAAAAUAUAAAAAGCGAAAGAAGGUACUGACCUUCUAGCGCACAAGAGCGAAUGUUUAUAGCAGAGAAUGAUGAUGGAAGUUAUAAGCAAUAUUAAUGAUGUUGUAGGAGAAGUUUUGAAGAAAACAAACGAUUGAAAAUAAAUGUGAGUCGCGGAUUCAAUGAUGAAUCGUAUAUGUAUGUGAUAAUUUGAAUAUGAUUUUUCGGUAUUAAUGAUUUCCUAACAAAAAAAGAUUUUAUAUUAAUGGUUUACUAAUAUAAACAGAUUUAUAUUAAUGGUUGAUAUUAAGGCCUAGAUUGAAAUGAUUUUUUAGUGAUAUGUUUUUAAAAUUGACCAUAUUAAAAUCUUCAUAACUGAAAAUUCAAGAUAUAAAAUAUGGAAAGCUUUUAUUGGAAUUAAAUACAUUUCAUUUCAACGAAUGUAUGUUAUUGAUUGAUGAUUGGAAAGCAUUUAUUGAAAUUAAAUACAUUCCAUAUGGGGAAGAUGAUGUCAGCAAUUUGAUCUAAAGGUGGAAAAAAUAAGAUUAAAAUACAAUCAAUGGUCCAGAUUAUUUAAAAUGAUGUCAUAAGGUUUCUCUUUUAGUAAUAUUUAAGAUGAGUAUGUUCACUAAAGUACCAUACAUAUUUAAAUAAAUAACACCGCAUUGUUAGGUUUGUAAACAUCAAAUAAUAUUUCAUACAAUAAACAUACAAUUCCAAAUAGAAUAUUAGUCAAUAUGUGAUUAACUAACAUUCAUCGUCUCAUUUAAAUGAUGAAUAUAUUACUUGAAAUACGAUACAUAUUUAAGGAUUGAGUGAAGUGACAAAAUGGUAGUGUUUGAUAUGUUUGUAGUCGGCAACAUAUAGAAAAAACGAAAAACAAAUCAUUUAUUAUUAUUGUUUGAUAAAUAAAUAAUUCUGAUAAAUUAAUAACCCUGAAUGUGAUAUACUAGAAUAGGGCCAUAUUUCACUUUCAUAUAUAAGCAUAACCAUGUACUUAUUGCCUUGCAUAUUCCGCUUAAAUGAGUAGAUACCAACUUUAUCUAUUGAAGCAUAUAAUACUGUGAAAUCUUUAGUGUGUACUUUGGUAACCGGUAGGGAUAGGGUUGUAACUGAGUCAAGACAAUUCGUGAGAUACUCGAGACCGACUUGAAAUCGAUUUGGUUCGAGUCGAGCUACCUAUGUACAUUAUCGAGCCAAGCUCAGGUAUUGGAAUACUCGGCUAGUGAUAUUAGCGAGCUUAAUCGAGCAUAUUUAUAUUUAGACUUUUAAUCUUUAUUUUAUAAGUACCUAUUUACAUAUUAUAGAGUCGUCGAACAACAUAGUAUCUUUAUUGCAAUUUAAUAUAAUUUUGUUUUUUUAAUAGGUAAUCGAGUCGAGUCGAGCGCAAAAGUCAAGAUUACUUCAUAAAGCUUCAACUCGAGCUUAAAAAUUAAGGCUUGCUGAGUCGAACACGAGCCAAGUUUUUAGUCGAGCCGAGUUUCGAGCUUGGCAGUACUCGGCUCGAUUACAUACCCCCGGUAACCAGUUCAUCAACGCAUUUUUACCAUAUUCGUGCAUUUAGACUGAAGUAGACAAGUAGUACAACGAAAUCAUUAAUUAAGUUGCGCCUUAAAGAACACAUCGGCUCAUAUCAUAUAAGAAAUCGUUUGUAGAUUUUGUUUGCCAAGUCUAGUGUCAUAAGGGUGUUUGCAAGGUGUUCCAUAAGGGUGGCGGUAUAUUGCCAUGGUAGGGUAGUUUUAAAAACUUGUUCCAUUUGAAGAGUGUUCCCAAGGAGAUGUGUGUUGGAUAAAUAUGGAACCACUUCAUAAAUAUAUAUAAUGUUAUCAUUAAAUCUGAUUAUUAUGGUAAGAAUAUAAAUUGUUGAUAGACCGAUUUAUAAGAUAUUCACUUACUUUAUGUGGGUUGAAUUUCCGAUUUAACUCAAGAUCCUAAAGAUAUCUUCCAUCUCUCACGUACAUUAAGGUAUAUUGUUAGGUUCGAAAUAGUUGUAAGGUGUCAAAGUGUCUUAUGUCUUUUGUUAGUAUCAAAGUCAGUAUUGUUUAUUUGCAUAAAGGUAUAUUGUAAUGUCAAAGCGUGAAUGUAUAAGCCCUUAUGUACUUUUUUGGUUACUUUUGUCAUCCCUAUAAAUAGGGGUUAGAUAUUAGAGUUGGUGUAUUUUUCGAAGUCACUGCUACUUGUACUCUAUUUUUUCUAUAUCUUCAAAAGCAAUAUAUUGAGCCAAAUUAGAAUUAUUUACGAUUCUGUGUUCUCUUUUAAUUCAUACUCAGAUUUCAUUUCAUACAUUCAAUUAAUAACAACUACAUUUGGUAUCAGAGCAGGAUGCAUUUAGUUGAUCUCUGAUUUUCUCCGGUUUUCAAAAGUUUUUGAAUCUCAUUCUAGAUUCAAAAUUUCCGCACUUGUGAUUCUGAAAAUCUAUUCAGAUCAUCUAAUUUGAUUUGAUUAUGUUCUUAAUUUGUUAAUCGAGUGUUUUGAGUUUGAUUUCUGCAAAUUUCAUCCAUCAGAUCUUAAUUUCUAAAGCUUUUUCCAAAACUCAUUCGUACAACAAUGGCGAAUUUCAAUAUGAAAACAAUUACUUCUUAUUCACAUCUCCUUGGUUCUUCAACCAGAAUCUUUAUGUUGAUCCCUGAGUACCUAUGAUCAAUGGGUGGAUAGGAUGGAAGACUGUCUGAAUGGAAUUGAUGGAGAACUCUAGAAAUGUAUCACUGUUGAUGUCGGAUGUUCGAGUUCGUUACAAAAUAUUGGAUCUGCUGCUUCCAGCUGUAGUGUACAAUUAUGUCUGUGGAUGUUCUAUUGCUAAGGAAAUUUGGAAUACACUAAAGGAAAAGUAUCAAGGAAGCGAGAAAACCAAGAAGAGUUCUGUUAAGCAAUGUUUGCUUGAGUUAGGUGAAUUCAAGCAAAAAGAAGGUGAGAAAAUUGAGCUCUAUUAUGAUCGUCUGAAUGAGUUAAUCUUCAAGUGUAGCAGGUAUGGAGUCAACGGAUCAACAAUGCAGUACAAUGUGACUUUUCUCAUGGGACUUCGUAAGGAGUGGCACAAUGUUGGUCUGAUGAUAAAAACUCAACAAUGUUUCAACAAUCUUUCUCUUAGUGAUCUUUACAUUGAGUUGAAAACUCAAGAACAGGAAGUAAAUGAGAUUGUUAAGGAAACUAGAAUCAGUUUGGGUGGUCCCCUAGCAUUGAUGUCUAAGGUGACAAACAAAGAAGCUGAGAUUGAGUUUGCUAAGAAUGAAAGUUCGGAAGAUGAAGGAAUAAUUGUGAAUGUUGGUGACGAAGCAAUAGCUUUUUAUUCAAAUAAUAAAGUGAAAAAGUUUUUCAAGAAGCCUUUCAAUUUGAAACCUAAAACAAGUUAUUCAAAAGUUUUGAAACAAUAAAACAAUGAUCAAUAGAUUCAAAACAGUUUAGAAGAAUCAAACAAUAAGAACAAAGAUUGAAUGUGAUUGAAAGAGUGUCGAAUGCUUAAUUAUCAAUAUCUUAGAAGAGUUCGAUAGAACUUCUCUGUAAGGAUACGUAGAGCUACAAAAACAUUAACCCUAAAACAAUUCAUGCAUGUUAUAUUUAUGGUCUAGCCCUAGUAUCAUAAUGACAGAUGGACAGGCCCAAUCCGAUAAUAAUAAUAAAUACUAUAUACAUGCAUAAUCAAUAUUGACACAACACCAUAAAUAUCCCAACAAUCUCCCCCUUUGUGUCAAUAAGGAAGGAAAAUUCUUCACUGUUGGAUACGCUUCUGAACCUUGAAAAGUUUCAGCAUUAGACCACGCAAGGUUUUGCGAAUCAAAAUAUACCAUUUAAUCAUAUCAGCGAAGCACUUCUUAUCCGCAACAUCAUUCCCUUUGUAAGCUUCUGCUAAUCCGAAAACAUAUUCCAGACACGAAGUGGAAUACAAAUGCUUGUCAGGCAGAAAGAAACAAUAUUUCUGAAAUUUCUCACUAGCUCUAUCUCGUUUUUCGAAUGUCAUACUCCAAUUAUCCUUUAGAAUCCUUCCCAGCUUCAUCUUGUCAAGGUCUUUCGGAGCUUCUUUAGGCAGCACUAUGGGUUUCUUUCGGAGCACGUUCGCAAUCUCCAGAUCAAUCUUACCAACUUCUUGGAUGUAGCAUAUCAGCAUCCUUUUUAGAUGUGCCAAGAUGGGUUCGAAUUUUUGUUCAUCCUUUAAUAAGAGAUGGAACAAGUAAAUCCAAUCAUAUGGAUUAAGGCACGGCAAGUCUGCGAGUGAAAACUCAAAAACUAAGCUUUUUGCUCCAUGGAAAACUUUGAAUUUAGCAUUGAUAAAGCUUUCCAUUUCAAUUGGCCCGAUGACUUUCACAGCUGUAAUUUUCUUUGAACUCCAGGAUUGGUAUUGAGGCUUUCCGUGCUUGAGAUAAAAAGAGAUAAGCAUCUGAUGAACAUCGUUGUCCGAAUCAAGUGCUCUCACAAUCCUGUCAAAGCUUCUAAACAGGAAAGCUUUCAGAGUUAUUGGAAAGUCAAGUUGAGACUCCGAAGUAUUUUCCAAUUCAAACGAAGUAAUUGGCUCCAACUAGUAUACAUUCGAAUUGUCUAUCGCCUCAUUCAGAAUCCUCUCCAUAGACCAAGGAGGGAAUAAAGACUUCUGAGUUUUGAGAGUGACCUGGGCAUCACGAGCCUCUCUUUUAUGAGCUUCAACUUCCGUUGCAAUAAGUUAAGCUUCGUCAAGCUCUUGGUCAUGUUUCUUUCUUUUUAAGCUGAUCUUCUUCUAAUAAAUCUUCUUCUUCAUCAUCGUCAUCGAUCAACUUUCCUUUUCCUUUUGACCCAGAAGCUUCAUUACCCUUCGGAUCGUUUGGAUUUGGUUUUUGCUCAUGCUCAUCAGAGCCACCAGUUGGUUUCUUGAGUUCUUCACCAGAUGCCUGCUUUUCUUCUCCCCUUUGUUUCAGAAGAGAGCUAGACUCUGAAACAUCCUCUAAAAGAUUGAGCAUUGAGAAGACGGGUUUAAGUUUAUCAGCAAGAUGUUAGCAAACGGAGACCAUGAGUAAAGAAUCACGAGUGUCAAUGAGAUUUAGUAAGUAUUGGUUAACAUCUCCAAUACAACGUUUUAUCACAGCCUUUUCAGACUUGAGCUCAUCAUUCUGUUGUUGUGCAUGCGACAGUUGCACAGAAAGAACUUUGAUCUUCUUAGUUUUCACCGCAAGUUUAUCCAUAAGUGAAUACUCGAUAACAAGGUCCUCUUGAAGCUUAUCAAGCUGGGAAGUAAUAGAAGUUUGCAGCUCAGCAUUAUCAGCCUGAAUUUCAGUGCAAACCUUUGAGAGAGCAGUUUUGUCAGUUUAAAGAGUCGAGCCAAGACUCGUAAUGACUUCAUUCGCAGCUUCAGUGUUUUUUUCCGAGGAUCGACAAAAGUCCACCAUAAACUCAGUUACAUCAUUCACUAGUUUUUCGACUUUUUCGGUUGCAUCACGAACGGUCUUUUUUGAAUUUUCUAUAGCUUCUGUAGAGGCAUCAAGACUUUUGGAAUGCUCCUUGGUGAGAGUCUUGAUUAAUGCCUUGACAAACUCAAAGGUGUAGUCAUUUCUAGAUGAUGAUUUGGAAGACUCAAUUAAAGUAUCCAACUUCUCAUUGAGGGCUUUGAAUUGCCCCUUCGUCAUAGGUUCAUCUCCGUCAUCACUUUGAUGGUUGAAUAUUGAAUGGGUUGUAGUGGAAGUCUUGGAAAUCAUCCCAAUCGUCACCAAAAAUCAUAUCAGGAUCAUCAUCGCGUAAAGGUGAGAUUGGGGUAGAACUAGGACCGAUUGUAACACCAGAAGCACCAGCCCUCAUAUCAGAUACGCUAACAGUUAUUGGUUGUGUACUAGUGGUUAUGGUGGUUGUGGCGGUAAAUUGGGUGUAAAGAGGAGUGGUUUGAGUGAUGGAGAUAUGUGGUUGCGAGACCCCCACAGAUAUAUUCGUACAUGGAGCAAUGGUGAUUGGUGUAGAGAUGGGUGUAGAUGUAGUAGUAGGAGAAGAUAGAGGAGUAAAGCCACGUAAAAAGAUCUUCUGUUAAUGGAACAGAGGUGGGAAUCAAAAAAGUUACAUGUGGAUUGGAUUGAGUAGUUGUAUAUUCAGUUUCUUGUUGGACUUGCACUAUUUGCUAAAUUUUUGAAAUUGUAUGAGACUCCAAAUCCCCUCAACAACAGGAGUAGGAGACCUUGGCUUGCGAGCCGAUUUCUUUACUUUCUUCUUCGGAACUUGAGUUGGUUCGGAAGGUCCAGCUUUCGUCUUUCGCUUACCUCCCUUUUUAGCCUUGUUCGCUUCCUCCAAAGCCUUGUGCAUCUCAGGUGUUAAAUGGUGAGGACCUGAUUAGGUUUCUUCUUAUACUUGUUGAUAAGCUCGUUGUCUGUUGGAACACAGUUGAGCAUUGCCUCUAGAAGAGAUCAAAUAAAGGAAAACUUCAUAGGAUCAGACACGAUGAAGUUCAAAGUGUGAAAGAUCGAAAUAGCUACUAUUAUACACCCCUCAGUCACCAGAAUGUUGAGCUUAGUAAUGGCUCUCUGGACGAUGAUGGACCAUAACCAAGCACAAGAAAUCUCUGAGUGACAUGUUGUGGAAAGAGUACUCUAAACUAGUUGUGCCCAAAGGAUGGAACCAUAAUAUAGUUUGAUUCCAUGGUAAAGUUCGUAGAUUAUAGUGCAAAAAAGCUUACUUCCACAGUUCGAGCCUGUGACCGCUCUGAAAAACUUUUGAAGAGAAUGGUAAAGAGUCCAUUCCACAUCGGAAGUAGGUUGGGCUUCUUGAACUUGGAUAAAAUGGAGAGAUUUCCCACAUAACCCAUCUGGUAGAACAUCUCCAGGAUUGCAGAAGAAGAUAUUGACCCCGGAUCAACUAGAUCCCUAGCUUGAGAAAACCCUAGCAAUCGGCUGAAACGAGAACCGGAUCAACUAGAUCCCACGUUUAUGAUGUCAGGGUUUUCGAAAAUUCUCGCGCCUAAUUUGAAAGCUUAUCCCUUGUAAACCGUCGCUUCAGUUUUGGACGUUCGUAAUUCAACAUAAUUCACCAGAACCGGUUCUCGGAUUUGAAAGAAUCAUUCGGAAGUUAGAACAAGACAGUUGAAAAAUCACGAGGAUUUUCGUGCAUAAGUGUGCCAAAGAUAAAGAAAUAAAAAAAUAUAUAUAUAUUUGGGAUUCUGUCAUGUCAGUUUUAAAAAUUAACACAAAAGCAUAUGGAUCCCGGGCAACGAUCUCUUCCUUCGGAGUCAAUAGAGACUCGGAAGUGCUUGCAUGGCUUUCCGUUGAAAUACGAUCAACUAUUUGUUGAGAAAUAGUGAAAGGCUUUUGUUCAUUAGACUUUAAAGGGUGGAUUAGCUUCAACCAAACUCCGAAACUCAACAUAAGUCUGAAAGUAUGGAAGAAGUACUUGUCUGACCAGUGUAACCAUAAUAACAAGUAUGAUUUGGAAUUAUUUGAGUGGCUAGAUAAUUUGGAAAUCUCAAGGAAAAAUAAAAAUUGGAUCUAUUGGGAAGAAAUGUCUUAGGACGAGAACAUUUCAUUAAGAUCUCACAAAAAUAAAAAUAAUGAGAUUCCAAGGUACAAAACCAUGAAGGUUGAUAUUCGUUAAUUCCAUGGUGAAUAAUAUUGAACUUGUUAAAUGUUCAAUGUCAAUUCAUAGAUAGGAUUCGGAUUUUGGGUUUCACUCAAAUUGUGGUAAUAACAAUUCGAAGAUCAUUAACAUAGAAGUUAUGUAACCAUAAACAUCAGUGGUAAACUCUGAGAGUCUAGUGUGAAAGCGAAUGUAAUAUAUAGAACUGUUAAAGGUGGUUCCACAGAUAAAAAUGUACCUCUGUUAUAUUGCGAAUGACUAAGCAGUCUACUCUUAACUCAAUAUGAGAAGAGUAAGGUAGCUCAACGACUUAUGUGAAUAUUAGCCUGAUUGUGAAGAAACAUUCGGAGUGAAAGUUUCAUUAAGGCUUAAUCAUAGAGUCUUAGAGGCUUUGGUCAACAUGCAACAGCAUGCUUCUAGGGACACUUAGCUAGUACAUAGAAUCGGAGUUAUAUACAUCAUUCUGAAUUGUAGUGACGAUAAAGUACCUAAGAUAACACAUAUUUAAAAAAAAAUAGCACACAAAUAAACAAAACAAAAAAUAUUUUGGAGUUUUUGAUUUUCUGAAAAGAUAAAACAUAAACAAGAAAGUAAAUAUAUUUUUGGAUUUUGGAUUUUCUUGAAAAAGAAACAAAUACAUAAAAGAAAAAUAUUUUUGUAUUUUGAAGUUUCUUAAAAGAAAAUAAAACCAGAAAAGAAAAUACCGAAAAUACAUAUUAUACAAGGAUACAUGAAGUUCCGGGUUCCAUAUGAACAGUAGACUUUGAGUCAUUCCGAGCGCUCGAACCCGUUCGAAGUGUGAACAAUGAGAUACGAGUACCUCCGAGGGUUUGGAUCGGUUUGGAACUUAAGUGAUGCAUUUCGAUUACGAAGAUGGUUUUGGCAUAGAUUCUGCUUCUAUCAUUCCUAAGCCUUGUAGAAUACGAUUGAAGGUUGUUUCAGGCAAGGCUUUCAUGAAGAUAUCAACAAGUUGAUCAGAGGAUCUUACAAAAUGUACUUCGACGUUACUAUCUUCUACGUGAUCCUUUAUCAAAUGAUACCUAAGUGUUAUAUGUUUCGUCUUGGAAUGUUGCACUGGGUUCUGACAAAUCCGAAUUGCACUUUCUAAAUCACAAUAGAGUAGAAUCAUCUUCAUUGUUAUGCUAUAGUCUCAAAGUUGGCUUUGCGUCCAGACCACUUGCGAAGUGCAUGAUGCAGUUGCGAUGUAUUCAGCUUUUGCAGUUGAUAGGGAUACACACGUAUGUUUCUUUGAUUGCCAACUUACUAGUUUGCCAUCUAGAAACUGACAACCCCCAUAAGUGCUUUUACGAUCGAGACCGCAUCCGCCUAGAUCAACAUCCAAAAAUGCUCUUACAAAGAAUCCAGAGUUUGACGGAUACCAUAUUCCGAGAGAAGAUGAUCUUUUCAGAUAUGUCAAAAUAUUCUUCACAACAGUCAUGUGAGGUUCACGAGGAUUCACCUAAAAUCUAGCACAAUAACAAACAGCAAACAUUAUUUCUGGUCGAAUGGAUGUUAGAUAUAUUAAUGAUCCAAUCAUCUGCCUAUAUAGAGUAAUAUCCGCUGUAGGUUUGUCCAAGGAUGAUUUGCCACGUUCCGAAUGCCAUCGGGACUUUAACUCGUGAAUCUCCUACCAUUCUGAAUUUCGCAAAUAAUGACUUGGUGUAGGCUUCCUGGUUGAUAAAAAUCCCCUCCGAACUCUGUCUAAUAUUUAAACCAAGGAAAAAAUUAAUAGGAACCAUUGAGCUCAUCUCAAAUGUAGUCUCUGUCAACUUUCGGAAUUUAGCAGUCAAUCUAGGAUUGGUUGAUUCGAAAAUGAUAUCAUCAACAUAGAUUUGGCCGAUCAUCAUAUGGUCACCAUCUUUCUUACGAAAGAAGGUUGGGUCGACCGAGACUUGUUUAAACUUUGAUUGUUUUAAGAAUCGGGUAAGGGUUUCAUACCAUGCUCGAGGAGCUUGUUUCAAACCGUACACAGCCUUAUUCAAAAUGUAGCAAUGGUUUGGAUACUUCUCAUUUACGAAACGCGAUGGCUGCUCCACAUAGACCGUUUCCUCUAACUCACCAUUUAGAAAGGCACAUUUUACAUCCAUCUGAUAGACUUAAAAGUUCUUAUGAGCUGCGUAGGCGAGGAAAAUGCGAACAGGUUCUAGCCUCAUAACCGGAGCGAAUGUCUAUUCAUAGUCUAUGCCUUCUUGGCAGUAUCCUAUAACAACCAACCGAGCUUUGUUCCGGAUGACAUUUCCUUCCUUUUCAAGCUUGUUCCGAAACACCUAUUUCAUACUAACCACAGAAGCAUCAUUUGGAGUUGGAAUCAGUCUCCAUACUUUGUUGCAUUCGAACUCGUUAAGCUCUUCCUGCAUAGCUUGCACCCAAUCAGAGUGAUCAAGAGAAAUCUUUAUAUUCUUGGGCUCAAUUUUGGAGAUGAAUGAAUUGAACAUGCAAAAUUCCAUCUUUGAAAAUAAUGUAGUUUGAUUCGCUUUUUGUUGAGCUCUCGUGACAACUCCAUAAGUUGGUGCUCCGAUAACUUGAGUCUUGGGAUGAUCUUUGGUCCAUUUGGUUAAUGGUGGGUAGUUUGGAUUAUAAGUUGGGUCCAAUUCGGCAUUCACAUCUUCAAAUUCUGAUUGAGCGUCGGAGUCAUUAUUUUCAUUCUCAGGCUCCCCUUGGGAGUUUGCAUGUGACUCGAUGUUCGGAAUAGGAUUCUCCCCCUGGAUAGUACUGAAUUCAGGGUUUGAAUUCUCCCCCUCAACAGAUGUUUCGAAUAUGGAGGUUGAAGUUGAACCCUCCACCUGGAAUGUAGUAGUAUAAGGUUGUAUCUGGGGAAGAACUUCAGAAGUCUUCGUAAUCAUUGUUGACAUUUGGAUCCUUCGGACUUUCCCUUUCGGAUUCGAGAUCUUUUACGGAGUCAUUUAUUAUCUUCUUUAACUCAUCCUCUUGGUUAUCCUUAGCCUUUCAUUCGGAAGUGAUGGCUUUCUCAGACUCAUCAAAUAAAUUCAUGAAUUCCUCAUACAAGUUCAGCAGAGGAAUCGUUUGUGAGGGAGUUGAUGGGAAAUUUUCUUCAGAUGGACUGGUAGACUUCUGAUGCUUCUUGAGAUAGUUGUUGUCAAACGUGACGUGGUAGGUUUCUUCUAUCUUUUUGGAUUUCUUGUUUAGAACCCUAUAUGUCUUCGAAGUGAGAGAAUACCCUAGGAAAUUCCUUCGUCUGCUUUCACGUCAAAUUUGUUCCUUUGCUCUUUGGAGUUGAAAAUGAAACACUUAGAACCAAAAAACAUGAAAGAACUUAACGUUAGGUUUUUGUUAAUAAAGAAUCUCGUAAGGAGUAAUUGAAAAUCUUUGGUUGAUUAAGGAUCGAUUCUGAGUAAAACAGGUUGUUCGGAUCGCAUUAACCCAGAAAUACAGCGGUAAGUUCGCAAAUUAAAGCAUGGUCCUCGCAGCUUCACAAAGAGAUCGGUUUCGUCUUUCAAUGACUCAGUUCUGCUGAGGAGUGUAAGGAGCAAAGAAGUUGUGAGCAACUCCCUUUUCAGUCAAGAAUUCUUCAAGCACUUGGUUUUUGAAUUCAGAACUGUUAUCAUUGCGAACGUUCCUGACUGGCUUUCGCAAUUGAAUUUCGAUCGGCUUGAUAAAAUCCUUUAACCUCAAGGUAGUAUUUGAUUUAUGUUUAAGAAAAUAAACACAGGUAAAUCGAGAAAAAUCAUCUACAAUAACCAAAAUAUAAUGUUACCACCAACACUCUCAAUGGCAGAUGGGCCAAAAAGAUCAAUAUGUAGAAGUUCAAGUGGCUCAAUGAUUUUGGUAUUUAUAAUCAUGGAGUGACUUUUUCGACUUUUUUGCCUAGUUCACAAGCUGCACACAGAUGCUCCUUGUCGUACUUCAGAAGAGGAAGUCCUCACGCAAGAUCGUCAAGUACAAGUUUGUUGAUGUCCUUGAAAUUUAAGUGCGAGAGCCUUCGGUGCCAAAGCCAACUGUCAUCCGAAUAUGCUUUCGUAAGAAGGCAAAUGGCUGGCUUUCUGAAGGAAACUCAAGGGCGCGACCUAGUGGUUUUUUUGGAUAAUCGGACAGUGUAUCGCAUGGGUCAAAGUUGCAGGCAUGGGUACGGUUUGGAGCAUUCACCAAAACACUAGUACAUAAGGUUGUAUGGGGUAUCAUAGGUGUGUUUGAGGUGGUGAGAGGUUUGGUAGAGAUCAAGGUGAAGUUAGGAUGUCUUUAAAAUAAUAAAAACAUUUUUUUCAUAAAUUAAACAAAUAAAAUAUAGAAACAAAUACCUAAAAAAUUAUAUAUAUAUANNNNNNNNNNNNNNNNNNNNNNNNNNNNNNNNNNNNNNNNNNNNNNNNNNNNNNNNNNNNNNNNNNNNNNNNNNNNNNNNNNNNNNUUAGAGGGAUGUGUUAAAAUAUGAAGGUAUCAAUGAGUAUUUGUAUAGGUAAAGAGGCCAACGUCUGUUUUUUAUAAAAACUAAAAGAGGGAUAUGUAAAAUAUGUUUAAAAUUAAUUAAUAUUUUCUUAAAAUAUUUUUAAUAUAAAAAGUAGUGUAGGAUGGGGGUUGAGAAAAAAAUAAUGUGGGGCCUAUGUGGUAUUAGGGGAUGGUUCCAUUCCCACCACCCUAAUGCACAGAUUUAGAGGUUGUGCAAAACACCACAUGUUAUGUGUUUGCUUGGAAGUACAACCAUUAGUUCGAUAUCCAUACUAAGAUUGUUGUUUUUAUCUGUACUAAGAUUCUUGUUCUAUCGAACACAAAAGUUAAGUAAAUGGCUAUGCUAGCAAAGAGCUUAUUUGGUUGAAGAACUUCUUAUCAAAAUUGGACAUUAAACAAGAAUAUUAUAUCAUGCAUUAUGGUAACUAGAGUACAGUUCACCAUGUUUAAAAAUGUAACGACACAUAUACAGAUGAAUUACUACUUUAUAAUAUAAUUAAUAAGUAAUGGUAUUUUGUCUUUAACGAACAAGACAUGCAAUUAAUAAUUGCAAUUUGCAUUAGUUAAUCAAACACCCAUAAAAUAGGGUUAUUAUCCAUACACAACAUUUUUUCAUACACAACAAAUUAUAUUUUAUAUAGUUGUACAGUACAAUUGUGUAAAAACAUAAAUUGUUGUGUAUGGCUAAAAAUUAUUGUGCACAAAUCACGAAGUAGUGAUCAAAUAGGUAUGCAUGAUUUAAUUCACUAAUAUUUUUUUUUUGUUGGUUAAAAGCUUCAAAAAAAAAGUACAUGAGAAAAUCAAAGGGUAAAAUUUGUACAUAUCCAACAACCUCGCGAUCCAUAUUUAUCGAAGAUUCGUUCGUUUAAAGAUUCAUACAUUGGAUUCCCUAGGAACUCGCCGAUAAUGUCUACCCGGCCCUUUGGUAUUUUUCUUUUACAUCUUUCAAGUUUUCUUGUGGCAACCAAAUCAAAAAAUAGCACUCUCUUUGAAUGCCCUUGACCAUUCUUUUUCCUUGUUUCAGGUAAAUUAGUUUGAGGUAUUGGAGGGAUUUGCUCAAAUUUUUGUUCUUCGAAACGUUCUCAAGUGAGUUUAAUUUCAAAUAAUCUACAAAUGUAUAUUGAUGCUAAAUGCAAUUCUUUUUAAUUAUUGUGCAUACCUCAAUUAUAAUAUGGUUGGUUGUAUAAAAACAAUAGGGAUAAACGCUACAUGACAGGCAUCCAACUCAAAUCACUGUACAACAAAGAGCUCAGUGGAGUGGUGGAGGCCUAUGGUGGCACUAAGUUAAAAUCCGGCAAUAUCCGUGGGGCAAUUAAAAGCUCAAGUGGAGUGGCUUUGAGAUUUGUCAAUCCAGGGCUUUCAGUCAUGUCAACCGCUUCAGAUGAUGGAUUUUUGAACUCAAAUCCAUGUAUGAUAUUGGCCAAUAUCAAUUGCAAAGCAUUUACAGCGAACGAGAUUCCCAAGCACAUUCUUCUACCACUACCAAAUGGAAUCAACUCAAAAUGUUGACCCUUGAUAUCGAUAUCCUUUUUGCUUGUGAAGAAUCUCUCGGGUAUGAAUUCAAAUGGAUCUUCCCAUAUUUCAGGAUCGUGUUGAAUCUUCCAAAUAUUUACCAAAAGUCGAGUCCCUUUAGGAACAGUGUAACCACCUACGAUGCAGUCUUGUGUAGACUCAUGAGGAACAGAAAGUGGCGCAGCUGGGUAAAGUCGCAUUGUUUCAUUGAUAAUGGCUUGAAGAUAGACCAAGUUCUUCAAAUCCGACUCUUCAACCAUUCUAUCUCGUCCUACAUGCUUCUCGAUCUCUUCUUGGGCUUUCUUUAACACAACAGGGUUGUUGACUAGUAAAGCUAAACCCCAUGUUAGAGUAAUUGUUGUAGUAUCGGUUGCUGCAGCUAAAAGUGCCUGAGAAAAGCAACAAAAACUCAC